UGGUGCUCACCCAGUGCCUCCUCCUCUUUCUGGUGCUCCUGCAAGCCCAGGACACGCAGCCUGCUCCAGCUGGAGGGCAGGGAGCAGAUGUGGCCAGAGAGAGGGCUUUUCCACCUCCUCAGGAGGAUCCUGUGCUGGUUCCCGGCUUGUAUCACUCGGAGCAAGAGGCUGAAGAAGAAGCCAUGACUCAGGCUCCUGAAUUGCUGAACAUGUACUAUAUUCUAGGGAUUACAGUAGUCUCGUGUGUGCUGCUGCUUUGGGUAAUUGUGUGUUGCAUAGCCAUGUCAUGGCUGCUGGAGAAAGACAAGGUGCCCCAGAGAUGUGGAGCAGCACUGGGACAAGCUGAUACUGGCUGUCUGGAAAAGCCAAGAUCAAAGAAGAGGUAGAGGUGAGGCAGAGUCAGAAGGACCAGGAUGCAGAUCUCCCAACUCUGCCCACUUGUUUCAGCUGCUCUCUGGCUGGUGCUGCCUCUUCACAGGCUACUGGGUAUCUGUGGAUUCACCUCAUCCCACAUCAUCCCAGUGUCCCAGUAUCAACAGGGAUAUUGUGCC